rnacentral:tRNA from 1 species
GCCUGGGUGGCCCAGUGGGUUGAGCGUCUGACUUUGGCUCAGGUCAUGAUCUCACAGUGUGUGAGUUCGAGCCCCAUGUCAGGCU